ensembl:rRNA 5S_rRNA 5S ribosomal RNA
AGCCAUGGCCAUAUAACCCUGCAGUUCAAGACUAGUAACUCACUGAAGCUAAGCAGGGCUUGAGCCUGGUUAGUACCUGGAUGGGAGACCACAUGGAAAAACCGGGUAGCUGUUGAAA